GCCUCUGUAGCUCACUUGGCUAGAGCGCUGCACCGGAAUCGCAGGGCCGUAGGUUCAAUUCCUACCAGAGGAC
rnacentral:tRNA from 1 species